UCCCUGGUGGUCUACUGGUUAGGAUAUAGCACUUUCACUGCUGCAGCCUGGGUUCAGUCCCUGGUCUGGGAA
rnacentral:tRNA from 1 species